AUAUAUAUAUAUAUAUAUAUAUAUACAGUGCGAACAACUUCUAUCGCGCUUCCAAUUAUUUUCGAGUUUCAGUACUUUCCAAUUUUUUUUUCUCGAAAAACGGUGAAUGCCAUUUGAUUUUAAAUGU
ensembl:ncRNA Y75B8A.55 ncRNA